rnacentral:rRNA from 1 species
AGAGCUUGCUUUAAAGAAGUUAGCGGCGGACGGGUGAGUAACACGUGGGCAACCUGCCUGUAAGACUGGGAUAACUUCGGGAAACCGGAGCUAAUACCGGAUAAUAUAUAGUACCUCCUGGUACUAUAUUGAAAGUUGGUUUCGGCUAACACUUACAGAUGGGCCCGCGGCGCAUUAGCUAGUUGGUGAGGUAACGGCUCACCAAGGCAACGAUGCGUAGCCGACCUGAGAGGGUGAUCGGCCACACUGGGACUGAGACACGGCCCAGACUCCUACGGGAGGCAGCAGUAGGGAAUCUUCCACAAUGGACGAAAGUCUGAUGGAGCAACGCCGCGUGAGCGAUGAAGGCCUUCGGGUCGUAAAGCUCUGUUGUUAGGGAAGAACAAGUGCGAGAGUAACUGCUCGCACCUUGACGGUACCUAACCAGAAAGCCACGGCUAACUACGUGCCAGCAGCCGCGGUAAUACGUANGUGGCAAGCGUUGUCCGGAAUUAUUGGGCGUAAAGCGCGCGCANGCGGUUUCUUAAGUCUGAUGUGAAAGCCCACGGCUCNNCCGUGGAGGGUCAUUGGAAACUGGGAGAC